rnacentral:rRNA from 1 species
UACGAAGGGGGCUAGCGUUGCUCGGAUUUACUGGGCGUAAAGCGCACGUAGGCGGAUCGUUAAGUCGGGGGUGAAAUCCUGGAGCUCAACUUCAGAACUGCCUUCGAUACUGGCGAUCUUGAGUACGGAAGAGGUGAGUGGAACUCCUAGUGUAGAGGUGGAAUUCGUAGAUAUUAGGAAGAACACCAGUGGCGAAGGCGGCGCACUGGGCCGGUACUGACGCUGAGGUGCGAAAGCGUGGGGAGCAAACAGG